CAGUAACGGCGAGUGAAGCGGCAAUAGCUCAAAUUUGAAACUGGUCCUUUCAGGUCCCGAAUUGUAAUUUGUAGAGGAUGUUUCCGGCUCACGCCCCGGUCUAAGUUCCUUGGAACAGGACGUCACAGAGGGUGAGAACCCCGUUUGUGGCCGGCGGCUUACGCCAUGUGAAACUCCUUCGACGAGUCGAGUUGUUUGGGAAUGCAGCUCUAAAUGGGAGGUAAAUUUCUUCUAAAGCUAAAUACUGGCCAGAGACCGAUAGCGCACAAGUAGAGUGAUCGAAAGAUGAAAAGCACUUUGGAAAGAGAGUAAAAAGUACGUGAAAUUGUUGAAAGGGAAGCGUUGCGACCAGACUUGCCCGCGGAUGCUCAGCCGGUCCUUCGCCGGUGUACUCUUCCGCGGUCAGGCCAGCAUCAGUUCGGGCGGUCGGAUAAAGGCCUUGGAAAUGUAACUCACCUCGGUGAGUGUUA
rnacentral:rRNA from 1 species